AGAGUUUGAUCCUGGCUCAGAACGAACGCUGGCGGCAGUGCCUAACACAUGCAAGUCGAACGGGAUCUUCGGAUCUAGUGGCGGACGGGUGAGUAACGCGUGGGAGACGUGCCCUUUGCUUCGGAAUAGCCCCGGGAAACUGGGAGUAAUACCGGAUACGCCCUUUGGGGGAAAGAUCUAUCGGCAAAGGAUCGGCCCGCGUUGGAUGAGGUAGUUGGUGGGGUAAUGGCCUACCAAUCCGACGAUCCAUAGCUGGUUUGAGAGGAUGAUCAGCCACACUGGGACUGAGACACGGCCAGACUCCUACGGGAGGCAGCAGUGGGGAAUCUUAGACAAUGGGGGAAACCCUGAUCUAGCCAUGCCGCGUGAGCGAUGAAGGCCUUAGGGUUGUAAAGCUCUUUCAGUGGGGAAGAUAAUGACGGUACCCACAGAAGAAGCCCCGGCUAACUCCGUGCCAGCAGCCGCGGUAAUACGGAGGGGGCUAGCGUUGUUCGGAAUUACUGGGCGUUAAAGCGCACGUAGGCGGAUUGGAAAGUUGGGGGUGAAAUCCCGGGACCAACCCCCGGAACUGCCCUUCAAAACUCCCAGUCUUGAGGGUCGAGAGAUGGUGAGUUGGAAUUCCGAAGUGUAGANGUUGA
rnacentral:rRNA from 1 species